ACACAAAGCGAAAAUGGUGAGAUUCCCUGAACACACAAAAGGGCUGUUUCUUGAGAUACCCGGGCGCGUCUGAAAGUUUGGGUGUUCACAUGAAUUUUGCAUUCACAUUAACUAGGCCUUUCGUGUUUUUUUAACCUCAGGCCAAAGUUCGUGAUAUUGUAUUUAAAGUUAGAGCGAGAGUACUUUUCUUUAAAAGAUGGUUGUGUAUAAUUGAGGGCCUCCCAACAGAGCAAAGUCAAUGAAGACCGUGGCUCCCAAUCACAAAGCCAACUUACCGUGUGUGCAUAGUGUUGAGGAUAGUAUCAGGGCGUGCACAUGCCGCCCCAAGAGACGGCCAGCUACAACCCCUUUCAAAAUUCAUUAAUGAUCCUUUCUUCCGUAGGUGAACCUGCGGAAGGAUCAUUAAUUUGGUUGUAGCUGGCCGUCUCUUUGGGGCGGCAUGUGCACGCCCUGAUCACUAUCCAUCUCACACACCUGUGCACACACUGUAGGUUGGCUUGUGAUUGGAGCCACGGUCUUCAUUGACUUUGCUCUGGUUGGAGGCCCUCCUAUGUAUUAUCACAAACUACUUCAGUUUAAAGAAUGUACUCUUGCGUCUAACGCAUUUAAAUACAACUUUCAGCAACGGAUCUCUUGGCUCUCGCAUCGAUGAAGAACGCAGCGAAAUGCGAUAAGUAAUGUGAAUUGCAGAAUUCAGUGAAUCAUCGAAUCUUUGAACGCACCUUGCGCUCCUUGGUAUUCCGAGGAGCAUGCCUGUUUGAGUGUCAUGGAAUUCUCAACUCUAUUUGCUUUUGUGAAUAGAGCUUGGAUUUGGAGGUUUUUGCUGGUACUUGUGAUCGGCUCCUCUUGAAUGCAUUAGCUCGAACCUUUGCGGAUCAGCUAUCGGUGUGAUAAUUGUCUACGCCGUUGCAGUGAAGCAUCAAUGGGCUCGGCUUCCAAUCGUCCUUUACUGGACAAUGACUUUGACCUUUGACCUCAAAUCAGGCAGUAGGGAUUACCAACUUAAGCAUAUCAAUAAGCGGGGGAGAAAGGAAUAAUGAAUUUUGAAAGGGGUUGUAGCUCGCCGUCUCUGUGGGGCGGCAUGUGCACGCCCUGAUACUAUCCUCUAACCUAUGCAAACACGUAGUGGCUUGUGAUUGGAGCCCCGGUUUCAUGACUUUGCUCUGUGGGAGGCCCUCAUGUAUAUCACAACACUCUUUAAAGAAAGUACUCUCGCGUCUAGCAUUUAAUUACACUCUCAGCACUUGGGCUCAGCGUAAAAAGCACCAAUGCGGUUGAUAACGUGAAUGCAAAAUCUAUGAACACCCAACUUUUAACGCUGUGGCAUCAGAGCAGCCUUUGAAUGUCGAGAAUCUACCUCUUGUGCCUUUUUGAAAG
rnacentral:rRNA from 1 species